GAAACAGAUUAUUUAAUUAUUGAGACAGAUGGUAGUAUAACAGGAUGGGGAGCAAUACUUAUUGCAAAACCCAACAAAUACUCAGAUAAAGAUACUGAAAAAAUAGUAAGAUAUAAUAGUGGAAAUUAUAAAGAAAAAGGUAAUAUAAGUAGCAUAGAUUUAGAAUUACUUGCAGUAAAUUAUGCAUUAGAUUCUUUUGAAUUGUUUAUUAUUUCUAAAAAAGAAAUUACUUUAAGAACGGAUUGUGAAGCAAUUGUUAGUUUUGUUAAUAAAAUGAAAUUAGAAAAUAAAAGAAGUAAUAGAAGAAGAUGGUUAAAUUUUAUUGAUAGAAUUACUAAUACUGGAAUAGUAAUUAAUUUUGAGCAUAUUAAAGGUAAUGAUAAUCAGAUUGCAGAUAUUUUAAGUAGAAUAAUUAAAAAUAAAGAUUAUGACUAACUACUUAUUGCAGAUGCAAAGACCAAGAGGUCCCAGACCAGGAUUGCCAAUUGUUGGCAGUUCGAGUUCCCAGACAAAUAUACUACAGACUCAUGAUAAGUUAAGAUUUGGUAAUAUAGAAUUACUUAACCCA
rnacentral:lncRNA from 1 species